rnacentral:lncRNA from 1 species
AAGAUGUAUUUUCACAAGGUACCUCAAUGCUCAGCAGGCAACUGGAUCGUACAUCAACAGGCAAAUGAGUGUUUGGAAGAAAACCUGUGCACCCAGACAACGGGAUAAAGGUGACACCCGAAAUCAUCUUAUAGUUGUUGGUGGCUGCCAAGGGCACAAUACCAAGAACCUUGCCUUCACAAAAAGAGGGGAGGGGGGGAACCACAAUUUAGGAAGGGAGCCCCCAGCCUGCUGCUCGGGCACAACCAGGCUGCGUGCGGGCUGCCUUCAGGGCAGGCAGGGUGCCGAGCACCCCUCGGCCCAGGUGAGCGGGGUCUGUCAGGGCAGACCCGGGGUCUGUCGGGGGGCCCCUCCCCUUUCUCCCUGCCUCUUUCAGCCGAACAAAGGCGGCGGCGGGGCCGCUCGGUGCCGUGAGGGCGGCUCGGCACAGCCCGGCCCGGCCCCGCGUCGGGAGGAAGCGGCGGGCGGGCGGGUGCCAGCCACCCGGCUCCCCCGCCCCCCGUCUCCUCCCCUCCGCUGCCGAGCCUCCUCCUCCUCCUCCUCCUCCUCCUCCUCCUUCUGCUGCUGGCGGCGGCGGCGCCUUCCUCGGCCCCGGCUCCCCGCUCUUCCCCGCGGCUUCGCCUCGCUCCUCGCCGGGAGGCUCCGCGAGGACGGUGCGAAAUUGUGGUUUUAUUGCUGCGGAUGGACGAGGAGUUGA